UACGGGGGGAGCAAGCGUUGUUCGGAUUUACUGGGCGUAAAGGGCGCGUAGGCGGCCAGCGCAAGUCAGUUGUGAAAUCUCCGGGCUUAACUCGGAACGGUCAACUGAUACUGCGCGGCUAGAGUGCAGAAGGGGCAACUGGAAUCCUCGGUGUAGCGGUGAAAUGCGUAGAUAUCGAGAGGAACACCUGCGGCGAAGGCGGGUUGCUGGGCUGACACUGACGCUGAGGCGCGAAAGCCAGGGGAGCGAACGGG
rnacentral:rRNA from 1 species